GAUGAACGCUGGCGGCGUGCCUAAUACAUGCAAGUCGAGCGAACGGACGAGAGGCUUGCUUUUCUGAUGUUAGCGGCGGACGGGUGAGUAACACGUGGAUAACCUACCUAUAAGACUGGGAUAACUUCGGGAAACCGGAGCUAAUACCGGAUAAUAUUUUGAACCGCAUGGUUCAAAAGUGAAAGACGGUCUUGCUUUCACUUAUAGAUUGAUCCGCGCUGCAUUAGCUAGUUGGUAAGGUAACGGCUUACCAAGGCAACGAUGCAUAGCCGACCUGAGAGGGUGAUCGGCCACACUGGAACUGGAGCACGGUCGAGACUCCUACGGGAGGCAGCAGUAGGGAAUCUUCCGCAAUGGGCGAAAGCCUGACGGAGCAACGCCGCGUGAGUGAUGAAGGUCUUCGGAUCGUAAAACUCUGUUAUUAGGGAAGAACAUAUGUGUAAGUAACUGUGCACAUCUUGACGGUACCUAAUCAGAAAGCCACGGCUAACUACGUG
rnacentral:rRNA from 1 species